rnacentral:rRNA from 1 species
AUUGAACGCUGGCGGCGUGCUUAACACAUGCAAGUCGAUCGGUAACAGGUGUAGCAAUACAUGCUGACGAGAGGCGGACGGGUGAGUAAUGCUUGGGAAUCUGCCUAUUAGUGGGGGACAACCCGGGGAAACUCGGGCUAAUACCGCAUACGCUCUACGGAGGAAAGCCGGGGACCGCAAGGCCUGGCGCUAAUAGAUGAGCCCAAGUCGGAUUAGCUAGUUGGUAGGGUAACGGCCUACCAAGGCGACAAUCCGUAGCUGGUCUGAGAGGACGACCAGCCACACCGGAACUGAGACACGGUCCGGACUCCUACGGGAGGCAGCAGUGGGGAAUAUUGGGCAAUGGGGGCAACCCUGAUCCAGCGACGCCGCGUGGGUGAUGAAGGCCUUCGGGUUGU